UACGUAGGUGGCAAGCGUUGUCCGGAUUUACUGGGUGUAAAGGGCGUGCAGCCGGAGAGACAAGUCAGAUGUGAAAUCCACGGGCUCAACCCGUGAACUGCAUUUGAAACUGUUUCCCUUGAGUGUCGGAGAGGUAAUCGGAAUUCCUUGUGUAGCGGUGAAAUGCGUAGAUAUAAGGAAGAACACCAGUGGCGAAGGCGGAUUACUGGACGAUAACUGACGGUGAGGCGCGAGAGCGUGGGGAGCAUACAGG
rnacentral:rRNA from 1 species